UGAGGUAGCAUCCUGCCCUAUUAAGUAUGCAGAUAUGGAGAACAUUCAGUAAGAUAGCUUUUCAUUAUUUAUUUAGGCAGAACAUACAGUACUUGAAAUCUGUGGGUUGCCAUGAGGUUCCCAUGGCAACUCUUCUAUGGAUAAGAAUGCUUGACUAGGCUGGUAGACUUGCUGUUACCAUCACCAGCCAUACCAUCAUUUGAGGAUACAGUACUCUCCCCUCAUCUGUGCUGUCACUUUUCGUGGUUUCAGUUACCUUCAGUCAACCAUGGUCUGAAAAUAGCCUCUUUUUCUGUCUUCAGAUACUACUUUGAAAACAAGAUGAAAGCCAUGGAAUCUCCCGAGAAAAAUGUACAUCUUACAGACUUUCAGUGAGUUCUGGAAUACCAGGAACCAGAGCCCACACUAAUGAACAGCAGUUUCCUAACCUAAUGCGAGAGAUUUGAGAUUUCUUCUGGCUCCCAUGAUCUUCUAAUUGUCUUCUUAGCAAGACUAAACACAUCUCCAAGAAAUGUGCACUGCCAUGAAUGUCUUCCAGCUAUCUUCUAUGACAGCACUUCCCAGUGUGUUCUGUGGAAUAAUGGUACAGGGUGAUAUUCUAUGAAGAAAAAUACGGAAAGUAAUAUACUCCACAGUCCGUAUAUUAGAUCGGACUAAUAAAAAUAAAUAUGGAAAGUAAUAUAUUCCACAGUCAUAUAUUAGAUCGCCUACACAACAGCAAUUUGAUAUAGUUUAAUAGGAUUUGAAUGAAUAAAAUUAAUGCCCACAGCUACUUUCUUCUGCCGGUAAAUAUUUUUCUGCCCAUAAUCUUGCUAAACAGAAUUCAUCUGAACUUACGUUGUUGCCAACAAAUAUACGAACAAUUAUACCUAAUCAAAAACAAAAACCAAACUGAUGUUAAAGAAAAUUAAUCAUUUGCUUUGAAUAAAUCAACUAUUAAGAAAGCUUAUAUAAUUGAGCCUAACAGUGCCAAAUCAUGUCUGAGAUGAAAUGCUGCAUGAUACAUAAUCAAACAGACAUUUGCAAGAGCUGUGGGUUGGGGGAGAGUGCAAAUGUUUCCCAGCACUCCUGUAUGUCAUGGGAGCACACAAUAAAACACUUGAAAAGCUGCAAUAAUAAAAGGUUUAAAGAGCUGCAAUAAUAGGUUUUGCACACUGUAGUGGCUACUGACACUGAGAACAUUUUAGAAGUUCAUCUCUAUCAUCCAAACACUACACACCACCAUAUCUAUCUAUUACGUUUUAAUAGGAAUUCUAUACUAAUAUUUUAUCCCUUUGCAUCUGCUCUAUUUUACUAUUUGGGUCAUAUCUCUUGUUAGAAACAAUGUUUGGCCCAUCUAUCCUCAAUAUAAAUAAAAAGCUUUUACCACAUAAACAAGGUCAGUUUGUUCUGUUUGAAAGAUGGAGUAAUGGAACUAACUGUAAGAUAUGCAAUGUAAAAUUUAUUCCCAUUUCACCUUUAUAUGAGUAGAAAUGAAAGGGUACUCAACUAAAAUAUGCG
rnacentral:lncRNA from 1 species